UGCGGGGUGGCGCAGCCCGGUUAGCGCGUGUGGCUCAUAACCACGAGGUCGGCGGUUCGAAUCCGUCCCCCGCACCCA
rnacentral:tRNA from 1 species